rnacentral:rRNA from 1 species
GCAAGUCGAGGGGUAACAGGAGAGAGCUUGCUUUCUUGCUGACGACCGGCGCACGGGUGCGUAACGCGUAUAGAACCUACCUUUUACAGAGGGAUAGCCUUUAGAAAUGAAGAUUAAUACCUCAUAGUAUUUUAGAUUGGCAUCGAUCAAAAAUUAAAGAUUUAUCGGUAAAAGAUGGCUAUGCGUCCUAUUAGCUAGAUGGUAAGGUAACGGCUUACCAUGGCAACGAUAGGUAGGGGCCCUGAGAGGGGGAUC